UCUUAUGGAUGAGCAAAGAAAGUGGUUUCUUGAGAUGGAAACUACUCCCGGUAAAGAUGCCAUGAA
rnacentral:pre_miRNA from 1 species